ACCUGGGUGGCUCAGUCGGUGAAGCGUCUGACUUCGGCUCAGGUCAUGAACUCACGGUUUGUGAGUUCGAGCCCCACAUCAGGCU
rnacentral:tRNA from 1 species